CAGUAGCCGCGGUAAUACGGAGGGUGCAAGCGUUAAUCGGAAUUACUGGGCGUAAAGCGUGCGUAGGCGGUUCGUUAAGUCUGUUGUGAAAGCCCCGGGCUCAACCUGGGAAUGGCAAUGGAUACUGGCGAGCUAGAGUGUGUCAGAGGAUGGUGGAAUUCCCGGUGUAGCGGUGAAAUGCGUAGAGAUCGGGAGGAACAUCAGCGGCGAAGGCGGCCAUCUGGGACAACACUGACGCUGAGGCACGAAAGCGUGGGGAGCAAACAGGAUUAGAUACCCCCGUAGUCCCUGUCUCUUAUAC
rnacentral:rRNA from 1 species